rnacentral:rRNA from 1 species
CAGUCGCCGCGGUAAUACGUAGGGUGCGAGCGUUAAUCGGAAUUACUGGGCGUAAAGCGUGCGCAGGCGGUUUUGUAAGACAGGCGUGAAAUCCCCGGGCUCAACCUGGGAAUGGCGCUUGUGACUGCAAAGCUAGAGUGCGGCAGAGGGGGAUGGAAUUCCGCGUGUAGCAGUGAAAUGCGUAGAUAUGCGGAGGAACACCGAUGGCGAAGGCAAUCCCCUGGGCCUGCACUGACGCUCAUGCACGAAAGCGUGGGGAGCAAACAGGAUUAGAUACCCGCGUAGUCCCUGUCUCUUAUAC